CCUUAAUUCACGAUAGCGUGCGUGCCAGCACCGACCACCACCACCGCUCUCAGAAAAAAAGGCGAACGACAAGAAAAGGAGUGCUGCCCAGCGCCACCGAAACGAGAGGUAAGGGGGGAGAUACACUGAUCGUAGUUUACUUCGGAAUAGAGAGAAGGUAGAGGCGUACCUCUCAACACAUCACACACCCUCGGUCUUCCUCUCUCUCACCAACGCACGCAUACGCGCGCCGACGCUCGCCCGAAGGCGGCCUCUACCAUCCCGGUCGCUCUCUUCCAGCACACGUGAAGUUGCUCUUUAGUUCUUGUUCAGCCUCCUGCCUCUGCUCUUCGUUUCUACCCAUAGGUAAGGCCCCCGACACACGCAUGUACACGUCACGUCGUCAUUGCUGCCUCCACUAGCAUAUCCUCAGUCUCCCCCGCCUUCACCAUCACGCGCCUCUUCUAGUCCGCCAUGCCCGGCGAAGGACCAUCAACAGUUGUCGUCGCAGCCAUGCGACUGGAGCCGCUCUGCUUUGGGGGUUACGAGCACCUCGAAAGUGGCAGCGGCGGCUUUGUGCACCUCAUCACCCCGCAAGGUGGACGUGUGCGUCUUCACCUGUCGCAGCCCUCUUUCCGAGGUGCUUCACCACCGCUGCAGCAGCAACCACCGCUGUCGCCACGUCUUGACCAUUUACCCACAUUCCCUCCAUCCCGGCCCCUUGGUUGUAAGUCCACACAGAAGGUUGCAGCACCCGCAGCUGCCCUGACAGAUGCCCGGCGGGCCCCGGAGGAUGCAGCAGGGCCGCAGACGUUGACGGCUGCUGCUGCUGCUGCUACGAUGCCAUCGGCACCCCCGGAGGGGUUCGAAGUGGAAUUCCUCUCGUCGUCGUCCUCCGUGGCGUCUUCGGCGGUACCAUCGCGCGCGACGUCGAGAGGGGCGUCGCCGUCGUCAGAAGCUGCUGCUAUCGAGGAGAUCGAUGCGGAACACGCGCCAGCAGAUGCCUCUGACGCUGGCGACAGCAAGCCCACGGUGUCGAGCGACACCGCAGGUGCACUCGGAGUCACGACUUCGGAGGACCAACCCGUGCCGCUCACGUUUGCCCACGGCGCGGAGCUGACGGCGUCGGCGGCGUCGAUGGCUGAGCUCGAUGAUGAGCUGACCCGGUGCGCUUUGCUUCUAUUCGACGGCAGGCUCCCUCAGCAGCCACCGCCGCCGGGGCAGGCGGAAGCGCCUCGGCGGCGGUGGCCGGAAGCGGUCAACUACCACCGUGCCGUCUUGCUGGGCUACGACGACGCCGGAUUCGCGUACAUGGACGCGCAGGCGUUUGCGCAGCGGGUGCCGCCGCCGCAGGGAUGGCGACUGUGCCCCCUCCCGCUGCUGGUGUGUGCGGUGGCGAAGCUGGCUCACUUUUAUCGGGGUGCGGAGUCGGACGACACAACGAGCGAGCAGAGCACCGCCGCCGGCGCCUCUGGCGCUGCACUGCGCUACCCGGUGCUGCCGAGGCCCGGAAGGACAGCUGCUGCUGGGGGAAGCGGUGGACUUGAGAACGCACAGUCGAGCCGCGAUGGUAUUACUGGCGCAACCUUACCCUCACCUUCUUACCCGGCCCCCGCGUCUGGCGAGCCGUCGCCGUCCACGUCAUCGGCUACAACGCCGCCUGUCCCGCCCUCGACAUCACCUGCGUACCUGAGCCCGCCCCUGCGCUGGAGUCUGCCGAUGUGCGGCCACGCACCCUCGCUGAACUUGCAGCAACUAUUCCGAGUGCAGCCGAACCGCGUGUAUCAGCUGGCACGGCCGCCUGAGGAGGUGGUGUUUCUCGGCGUCGCAUUUGGAAUCCCGUGGAUUAGGCCAGUUGUGUUGGCUACCGCAACGGCCCCUGAUGCAGCGCCGCCGCAGGUGGAAACGUGUCGCGAUGUCGUACUUCACGCAACUGACCCCUCGACUUCAUCGUCGGCAUCGCAACCGCCGGCCGGGUAUCGCUGGAAGGACACGCGUGCGUGGGCGGUACCGCUCAUUGGGUGCCAUGAUGCAUGCGACAUUCGCGGUCGCCACGGUCUGGUAGACCCGCCGCCAGGUGCGACGGGGGUGUCCCCUGCUGCUGCCGUCGCCGACGCCGAAGGAUCUGCACCUCCCUCUGCGCUGUCAUCAGCUGCUACUGGAGCGCCGCCCGAGAAGUCGUGGCAGGAAACAUCGCUGCGGCCCAGUGAGGCUGACGAGCAGAACAGCGGCACGCCCGCUCCUCUCUCACUGUCACCUCCGUCGCCCUCGCCGAAACCGCUCACCGCCGCUGCGCUGCUGUUUGUAAAAGAAGGCACCCGUGUCUUCGUGCCUGGCCGCUUCGGUGUAAUGCUAGAGUGCAACACCAAUUCGGCGCUGAUGGAGGCGCAUUUCGGCGUCGUGCACGGUGAUCAGCUUGUACCGCGCGCCCUGUCGUCUCACGCUGCCGCUGCGCAGCUCUCCGGCGCACCAAAGCCAGGCAAGACGACGACCCCAUCACUGCCACCUGGGCCCUUCAUUGUGAUGGGGCUGUACGGCCGCAACGUGCUCGUGCUAAUAGCCGAUGGCGAGGAGCAGACUGCAGUGCAGAUUCACGUUACGCGCGGCGUCGCAGAGGUCGCGGAGGCGUUUCGAAAAGUGGCAGGGGCGCCACUGCCGCCGCCUGCGCUGCCGCUGGAGCCACUCAGCGUGCCUGCAUCGCCACCUGAGCCGACAAUGGUCGCCGAGGCUGCUGCUGCUUCUCGCUUGGUGGCCAAAGACGAAGUCUCGCAGGAGAGGCCGCAGGCGCCGGAGACAGAGCGACGGGAGGACCAGGCAGGACCCGUGCCUGGUGCAGUGACUUGCAUCGUGGCUGAGGGGACCGACGCCUUCAUGGCCCCUGCAGCAGAUACUGCUGCUGCUGCCGCCGAAGCGCAGUUAUGCAAGGGUAAGGACGUGGGUAUGCUGGGUGUGGAGGGGAUGCGUAACGAAGUUGGUAGCGCUACACGGGUAGCCGAUGGGGUGUGCAAUGGUGGGCCGCCGCCGGUCAAAAAAGUGAUUCUGACCGACCUUCACAAAGCUGGUGAGAACGCUGCGCAUGCCUCCUCGAGUGUUGUCGUGGAGAUAUCGCAAGGGGUCUCGACAUCGGCUGCUUCUGCACCGCACGCAGGGCGAUGGUCGUCAACGACAGCGUCCUCGGCGUCUUCGAGUUCCUUCGACUCACAGGCUUCGCAGCAACUCCGGCAGCAGCAGCAGAGUCGGUUGGAGCAGGUCGGAGAGGAAGAGGCACACCGUUCAGGCCCUUCCACAGGGAGAGCCAGCGCACCGAGCACUCCCACUGAUAAAGUUGUGGUGAAGGCGGCUGAGGUAUGGCCAACUUCUGCGGCGCAGCUGCUUGAGUCUGCGGAGGAGGUGACGGUUGUGCCCGCCGUGACGUCGUCCACAGAGGAUGCGCUUCCGCUGAUGACCCUAUCAGCGGCCGAACAUGCCAUGACCUCCGAGAGCGGCGAAGGAGUCUUUCAGGCGGAGGCUGCUGGCGCUGUCGUCGAAUCCGCGAACACCAAGACACAUGGAGAGAAAUACGUGCACUAUCACGACGACGGAGUGAUCUCUGCUGAUGCUUUGCUGCACGGGCACUCCCUGCUGCAGCUGCCUGAGAAGGACCUCAGCGCGCUAGAAGGUGGAAGGGAGAAGCACCCGCAGCCGGGAAGCAGCUUCUCGGCCCAGUUUUUCGCCGACCACACACCGAGCUUGCUCCCGGCCUCGUCAUCGAUGCCGCAACCAUCGCAACAUCAGCAUACAGACGACGCGCAGGGGGCGGCGCUAGGCACGGAGGUGAGCUUCGAUGAAGAUGGGGCCGACGUGCGCCGUCUUCCUGCGACACCGGAGAGUGAUUGCGAAGAGCGAGUGCAGCACGUGAGCGGCGCAGAUGCUGAUGAUAUUGCCGGGCCAGUUAUUGCAUCCCACGCAUCAUGUUUGUUGGCGUCGGUGGAACAGCAGCGAUGGAUCAAUCAGGCACCUCCCUUUUGCCAUGUUGCCAUUCCAGCCGGUGAGGAGGUGGCGGCGACGACAGCGACGGCACGCUCAGCAACGGCUUUCACACCUUUCCACUCUCCGCCACCAGCGAGCCCUGCAGACCUCCAGGCAGCACCUCGAGUUGGGGAUGCACAGGGGACAUCUUACCCCACUUCAGACCCCUCACCAUGCGCGGCGGCUGUCGGGCUGCAGCACUACUCAGCGGCGACGCCAUUUACCAACUUCCUGAAGGCGUACGCAGUCUUCGUACUCGGCACACAUGGAGCAACAAGCAGAGGCGAGAGCAAGCAGCUGUGCAACGGCACAGCGCCGCACAUGAACGAGUGCGCAGCGAGGGCAGGGGAAGCUUCGCGGGGCGUAGCGGAACUCGCUUCGAUACUCGACUUCUACCGUGAGCGACCGCUGGCGCGCAUCAUGGAGGCCACAGCUAUUCAGCGGCGCUGUCGUGCGGCGUGGAAUGCGGUCAUCGUAUCGACACCUGCCUCUGCUGCAGCGCAAGCUGUGAGCGACUUGCAGGUGUGCAAGCUGAAGGCAUCUGCGUCGACGACGGCUUUUACGGAACUCUGCGUUGAUGAGCUCGUAUCGCUGCUGGCUAUCGUGCAUCAUCCGUCACCGAGACAGGAUGGAUGAUACACCGCGGUGACCGCAUGCACGGGAGAUGGCGGCUCUCCAUCUCCCUCUCUUUUUGUGAGUGGCCCCUCCUUACACACACACACACACAUACACACACACGUGCACGAGGAGGGAUGGACGGAUGGGUGAGGUUGCCUGCCCCAUCGCUUCGCAAACACAGCCGAGGUGUCUGUGUGCCUGUGUGCGGAAUGUGUGUGUAGCCGCGGCUCGCAUAUACCUACUUCUUUUUUCCAUGGCUUCCUGUGUGCGGCUGGCACAUCCGUGACGUGUUUCGUCAAACAACAACAGCAGCAUAAAGCGAAGCGCAUAUGCUCGCAUGAGCUGCUGCUGAUCUCGCGCCUUUU
rnacentral:misc_RNA from 1 species